UGGUGAGGACCUCCUCUUUUAUCCGUGUGUAAUAUUUUGGUUUAAACGACCGCGGAUCUACAAUUAGUUCAAAAUUUGUUAAUCUCGUGCUCUUAGGCUUUUUACUGCUAUACGCAUUAUCUAACACAUCCGGAUACGGUGUGCCUAGCAUUCAUGGCGAAUUCUAUAACUUUACAUUUCAGACAACACACAGCAAAGUUCCAAAUCUGACAAUGGAAACUCAGCGUUGACUGUCGGUGCAAUUUUAGGAGUAACAAAUAUCUUGACAGUAGUGUAUGCAGCUUAUUUAACAGUGGUUAUAAGAAGGUCACGAACAAGGUCGUUUGACGAUAAAUGCAUAUGCCACGGAAGACGUAAACCUGAUCCCACAGCAACUGUUGCCAAACGGGAUCUGGCAGUUGAUCAACAAAACCUAUUCUGUUAACGACGAUGAAGACACUUAUGAUUUAUCAAAAUAAGCUGGCUAAGAACGUGCUUUACGCAGGUCGUCAUCAAUAUCUUCAAAUAGUUAUCCAAACGUUACGUUAUUGUUAACUUUUACUUAUAUAGUCCUUGAUUAGCACAAAUUUUCAGAAAGAACUUACUAUAACUGCAGCAAAAAUAAAUUUGAACGUCUGGAACUAAACUUUUAGAAGGUCCAGCCACCAAUAGAAUGAGUAUCUAAAUACAAAAGUCAAUUAUGUUUUUGUUAAAGAUGAUAUCCAGUACACCAUAAUUUGUGUGGAAAUUAUUACUUCAUGUGUCAAGAAGAUGCAACAAUCACCGGAAGACUGCAUUUAGGGGUUAAUCAUAUUUCACAUUUAAAUGACUAUUUUUACAAAGGUCGGAAGAUAUACUGUUGCUGAUAUCUAAAAUACUUUAAAUAACAUUUAUUUAGAAAGCUGUUUACUGUGUUUUUUAAGAUAAAAAUUUAAAGCAUUAUGACCCUUUAAGCUUUCCUCUAAUAAAAGUGAAAUGUUA